rnacentral:rRNA from 1 species
UGCAAGUCGAACGAUGAUGCCCAGCUUGCUGGGUGGAUUAGUGGCGAACGGGUGAGUAACACGUGAGUAACCUGCCCCUGACUCUGGGAUAAGCGUUGGAAACGACGUCUAAUACUGGAUAUGAUCACUGGCCGCAUGGUCUGGUGGUGGAAAGAUUUUUUGGUUGGGGAUGGACUCGCGGCCUAUCAGCUUGUUGGUGAGGUAAUGGCUCACCAAGGCGACGACGGGUAGCCGGCCUGAGAGGGUGACCGGCCACACUGGGACUGAGACACGGCCCAGACUCCUACGGGAGGCAGCAGUGGGGAAUAUUGCACAAUGGGCGAAAGCCUGAUGCAGCAACGCCGCGUGAGGGAUGACGGCCUUCGGGUUGUAAACCUCUUUUAGUAGGGAAGAAGCGAAAGUGACGGUACCUGCAGAAAAAGCACCGGCUAACUACGUGCCAGCAGCCGCGGUAAUACGUAGGGUGCAAGCGUUGUCCGGAAUUAUUGGGCGUAAAGAGCUCGUAGGCGGUUUGUCGCGUCUGCUGUGAAAUCCCGAGGCUCAACCUCGGGCUUGCAGUGGGUACGGGCAGACUAGAGUGCGGUAGGGGAGAUUGGAAUUCCUGGUGUAGCGGUGGAAUGCGCAGAUAUCAGGAGGAACACCGAUGGCGAAGGCAGAUCUCUGGGCCGUAACUGACGCUGAGGAGCGAAAGCAUGGGGAGCGAACAGGAUUAGAUACCCUGGUAGUCCAUGCCGUAAACGUUGGGCGCUAGAUGUAGGGACCUUUCCACGGUUUCUGUGUCGUAGCUAACGCAUUAAGCGCCCCGCCUGGGGAGUACGGCCGCAAGGCUAAAACUCAAAGGAAUUGACGGGGGCCCGCACAAGCGGCGGAGCAUGCGGAUUAAUUCGAUGCAACGCGAAGAACCUUACCAAGGCUUGACAUACACCGGAAACGGCCAGAGAUGGUCGCCCCCUUGUGGUCGGUGUACAGGUGGUGCAUGGUUGUCGUCAGCUCGUGUCGUGAGAUGUUGGGUUAAGUCCCGCAACGAGCGCAACCCUCGUUCUAUGUUGCCAGCGGGUUAUGCCGGGGACUCAUAGGAGACUGCCGGGGUCAACUCGGAGGAAGGUGGGGAUGACGUCAAAUCAUCAUGCCCCUUAUGUCUUGGGCUUCACGCAUGCUACAAUGGCCGGUACAAAGGGCUGCGAUACCGUAAGGUGGAGCGAAUCCCAAAAAGCCGGUCUCAGUUCGGAUUGAGGUCUGCAACUCGACCUCAUGAAGUCGGAGUCGCUAGUAAUCGCAGAUCAGCAACGCUGCGGUGAAUACGUUCCCGGGCCUUGUACACACCGCCCGUCAAGUCAUGAAAGUCGGUAACACCCGAAGCCGGUGGCCUAACCCUUGUGGAAGGAGCCGUCGAAGGUGGGAUCGGUGAUUAGGACUAA